rnacentral:rRNA from 1 species
AUUGAACGCUGGCGGCAGGCUUAACACAUGCAAGUCGAGCGGAGAUGAGGUGCUUGCACCUUAUCUUAGCGGCGGACGGGUGAGUAAUGCUUAGGAAUCUGCCUAUUAGUGGGGGACAACAUUCCGAAAGGAAUGCUAAUACCGCAUACGCCCUACGGGGGAAAGCAGGGGAUCUUCGGACCUUGCGCUAAUAGAUGAGCCUAAGUCGGAUUAGCUAGUUGGUGGGGUAAAGGCCUACCAAGGCGACGAUCUGUAGCGGGUCUGAGAGGAUGAUCCGCCACAAUGGGACUAAGACACGGCCCAGACUCCUACGGGAGGCAGCAGUGGGGAAUAUUGGACAAUGGGCGGAAGCCUGAUCCAGCCAUGCCGCGUGUGUGAAGAAGGCCUUUUGGUUGUAAAGCACUUUAAGCGAGGAGGAGGCUACUUAGAUUAAUACUCUAGGAUAGUGGACGUUACUCGCAGAAUAAGCACCGGCUAACUCUGUGCCAGCAGCCGCCGUAACAC